UCCCCGAUAGCUCAGUUGGUAGAGCAACUGACUGUUAAUCAGUGGGUCGCAAGUUCGAGUCUUGCUCGGGGAGCCA
rnacentral:tRNA from 2 species